UAAAAACAUUUCUCUCUUCUCUUCCAAACCCACCUAUCUUCUUCCUCGCAGAAUCAAGAGAAAAUGACUAACCCCCAAGAUAACCCUAGUACACCUCUUCCACCUACCCCCUCCGAUUCCUCCACUACUCUUCAACCCAACACAACCCUCAACCUAGGAGAAGGCGUGUAUUGCUUGCUCAGAAAACUGUCACUAUAGUUGUGCUUUCAAGAAAAUUAAAUGCAUAGUUACAGGCUAGUCAAGCCCAAGACUUCCAAAAUAAUGAUGAUUUCUUCAAGUCUACGAGUGAGGGGGAAGGAACUAGGUCUUCC
rnacentral:lncRNA from 1 species